AUUGCAUGAACUAAAAGAUUAGGAUAAGUAAGUUAAGAUCAGCAAAGGUCCAUAACAACAGUUUCCUUGGGGUCGGAAGUCAUCGCUAGGCAGAGGUGCCAAAAUAAACAGGGGGCCCGGGCCUGCUGUUGCUAGGUGAUGAUGCAAUACCCCCAGUAUCUGACUAAUUUGGGGGCAUCCUGGAACAGCGCCUUCAUUUGAACUCCAGCUGAGCUGGCUGACCUGAUACCCAUUCUCACCCCCUUGCAGAAUGAUCCUGUUCUUUAACCUCAAUCAAGUUUCACGAAACAAAUAAACUUUUUCGUUUUGAAAAGAGUAAAUAGAAAAAACUCUGGUACCAUUGGAAAGCUCUCUUAGUAGGUAGUUGAACAGUGACAUCCGUUUGAAGAUUGAGUGCGUUGUUGUGGGUUAUGAGUGUAACCACGGCUAAGUACAAUGUACCACCUAAAAUGAAGACUCUUGAAGACUUUUUUUAAAAUGUCUAAAAUAGCCAAGCCAUUGUAUCAUUGGAAAGUUCUCUUGGUUUGGAGCUGAACAGUGAAAAUCGUUUUCAGAUUGAGUGCGUUGUUAUCGGGUUAUACUUGCAAAAUGGAGACAAAUGGCCGGAUGCUGAGGAUUCGAGUAACUAAUCGCCUCUGAGAUUAUGUAUGAAUUCCUCCUCAGACUAACCAUACAGGACAAGAGCGACAACGACGAGAUGUACCUGACACCCGUACCUGUGUCCAUCAGGACGAAACAGUUCCGUCACAAAGUCAGUCGAGUCCUUCCACUGCAAGUCGCUGAGACGAGCUGUAUCGCUGAAGGGACCGGAAUAGACGUCUGCACACCUUAUAAAGCCGGGAAGGAGCUACACAUCACCCAGGACAGCACCGUCCACAGAAGGAAGACAACGAGAGGGCCUAAGAAAUGCCAGAACAGUAGCAGAUCUGGAGCAGCAAAUCGAUUGCACUGCCACAACCACAGAAAACCUAAAACUAGUUAGACAAUUCACGGGCUGGUUUUGGCUGAUUUAUACCAUGAAUAUGUAUAUAUAAUGUGUAUAUAUUAUAGUAGUGGAUUUUAUAUGUACAACAAAGAACCGUACAUAAGUUUACCACAGCGACGGCGGACCUAAUCAAACCGGAGGUGUAUGUACUAAUGAAGAAAACCAACAUAAGAAUAUGCAGAAGUGGCCAUCGCUGGGAGGAGCCAGAAUAUACAUUUGUGCGGCUUGAAAAUUCUGAACAGAGGGGAGCCACACAACAUUCAGAACAGCGCCAUCGACAGAAGGAGGGUAACAUGAGGGAAGUAGAGGCCAGUAGCAGACCCAAGACGUACAGCCGAUAGAUUGCGACAAUACUUGUACAUGUAUAGAUAACCUGACAUGACACCAGUUAUAGAAUUUACGGAUUGACUGAUUGAUUGACUGUUUAUAUCACGAAUAUUUAUUUUAGUGUAUACAUUGUAGUAGUUGAUUUUAUAUGUAUAUGAGUGGACCGUAGACGAAAUAACCGUUGUUUUGUGGUGUGACAAGACCUGUCUGUUUGAUACGCCAAAAUGUGACCACGAGAUAUAAUGUAUUUGUAUGACAGAGAGUCAGAGAGUAUAGUUCAGAAGAGAAAGAGAGAUCCGCAGCUAAGAACGAGGUUAGCGAGGCCAGCAUUACUAGUAUAUAGUAACGUCAAACCAUCUUAACAGUCUCCCGUGCCCAGUGUACGGAAAACCUUG